CCCUCCUCCUCACCACACCACACGGCACACACUAGUGUGUCUCAAACACCCGCUCACGCACUCGCUGCAAACUACGAGAGGCAGCCAACAGGCAUACUUUUACCACGAGCCAUGUCUGCUGAUACUUUUUCAAAUGCCAGAUUCCAUAGAGCUGAGAGCAUAAGCGGACGAGAGUGCAAACGCUACCUCCGAUACAAUUCUAUGGAGAGCAAAGAUACGUGAUCCAAAAAUAUCCCGACAUUACGUGUACAAGUGGAGCAUCUACGAGACGCAGCAGACCAACCGGUUCUAGCACGGAAUGAGACGGCAACACUCUCACUCUCACAUCCUUGUGCGGUCUAUGCACUGACGCGGAUGGCACAGGCGCGAAGCGAACAUCUCCCUCGUUUAUUUGCUCGGCCUUCGAGUACGUAUUUGUAUGAAUUUCUACGAAUACGCAUGAGUACUCGGAAACUCGGAAUUAUGGAAAUGCAGAGCAAAACGACCAUACACUAUGUAUUUCUGAGCUGGGUUCUGAAACACGAGACCACAAGAUCUACCCGUCGCAUGGUUAGGGUUGCGGAGGGAGGGUUAGAGAUGGCUCUCAGUACGAGUACAGUGAGUACAGUGAGUACAGUACGAGAACAACCCUAUCGGACCCCACUUAUCAUACACAUGUGCAACUAAGCAAGCUGUGGUUACUGUAUCUUGAAAGAUAUCAUUUUCGUUCAGAUGGUGUGUGUGGGUGUGACAUCAUUGUGCCGUUCUCUUAUGGCCCGUCCGUCGUAUCGCCGUUUGUUGAACUCACUUUGACACUGCUUUUCGGGGCACGUCCGUGGAUGAAGUUUUGGUGGGAUUCCCGAUUCGCCAUAGCUAUAAGUAUUGCACGUACAGGCGAUGGAGAUCUUUACGAGAAUCAAAGUGUAGAGAUCGAAGGGUGAUGUUAUGCUGAGAGGUAUGCGAUUUUUUGGUCAUAAUUGCCCUGCUGGGGAGGCUGUCGAGAAGGCUUCUGACGCUUCUACUGAAGCCCUGCUGAAGCCCUGCUGAAGCUGCUAUUGCUGAAGCUGCUAUUACUGCAGAUGCUGCUCCUGCUGACGAUGAUGACGGCGAUGAGGAUCUGUCUGAUCUUGAGAAGGAUGGGAUCAAGAACGCUGCUGUUGGAGAUUACGACGACGACUAGAACAAGAUGAGCGCCCACCGACAUGGGUGCAGAGCUCAGGCAAGAAGAUACUCCAGAAGUGAGCCACCAAGGGCUCGAGGGCCGCGUCGAUCCCAGCCUCAAUCUCCCGUCGUCCAUAUGUGAGUGAUCGAUCUCGUCCUCAUCGUCGUCCCACAGGGAUUGUGUUGUUCUUGUUCCCCUAUUAUUUCUUUUUUCGGCGCAACAGCGGGUUUUUGCUAUGGAGGACUGGCGAUGGAGAAAAAGGAGAAAGGGAAGACAUUGCUGGUUGGCCUCCUCUGUGUUCCGCGUGUGUUAGAGACCUGGAAUAGAGGCCUAGAAGCUACAGUAUCUUCCCAUGAGUAUCAUAUGUCCACAAUUACGAGCACCCUAACCAUCAUCAUUGCGCAUUGUCAUCCUGUUGGUCUGCUGUUCAAAAACGGUCAAAAAAGUACACUGCUACCGAAAGGCAGCGAAAUUGAAUAUUUGACGAGUAAUGGGCGGCUUUGAGGUACCUACUGUAACCCGGGACAGUCCCUCAAACUAGUACUACUGCAAAGACAUGGUUACAUUUCUCCUAGCUAUGAUCUCAACCACCCCAAGAGCACCAAUCAAAGUCAAUUAAUUUACAUAUACUUUAGUUGACUCUUCCAGAUGAUUUGAUGGGUCCUGAAUGACCACCAAAACACGGGAGAGCAUCGGACAAGGCUCUAAUGGUUCAGAGCCUUGUCAAAGGUUGCUUGGAGGGAGUUAGCAAGUACGGAACGGUACAGCUCCGAGUACUUGUACAUGUUCGAGUACAAGUCGGUACCUAGUCUUGUAGUUCUGAUUCUGGCAGCUCUAUGAUUAUGUACAUGCUCUCACACUCCAACAGCCCAAUGUUACUGUACCUGUACUCGUACUGUACUGUACCAAUAAAAUCAAUUGACACACACACUGAGAUCUAUCCUUCCUACAGCCUCUUAUGAACCUCAUCCUCAGCACACUCUUUCAGCCCUGACGACAACCUUGAACCUUGUCUACUACAUACCCAGUAGAACUGAAGACCUAUUACAAAGCAUCUCAGACACCAAUAAAUAAAUGGCGAUUCAUUAAUCAAUUCAAAUGUCUCAUUGG
rnacentral:misc_RNA from 1 species